UACAGGGGGGGCAAGCGUUGUUCGGAAUUACUGGGCGUAAAGGGCUCGUAGGCGGCCAACUAAGUCAAACGUGAAAUCCCUCAGCUUAACUGGGGAACUGCGUCUGAUACUGGAUGGCUUGGAUUCGGGAGAGGAAUGCGGAAUUCCAGGUGUAGCGGUGAAAUGCGUAGAUAUCUGGAGGAACACCGGUGGCGAAGGCGGCAUUCUGGACCGAUAUUGACGCUGAGGAGCGAAAGCCAGGGGAGCAAACGGG
rnacentral:rRNA from 1 species